CACUCCUGCGGGAGGCAGCAGUGGGGAAUAUUGGACAAUGGGCGCAAGCCUGAUCCAGCCAUGCCGCGUGAGUGAUGAAGGCCCUAGGGUUGUAAAGCUCUUUCACCGGUGAAGAUAAUGACGGUAACCGGAGAAGAAGCCCCGGCUAACUUCGUGCCAGCAGCCGCGGUAAUACGAAGGGGGCUAGCGUUGUUCGGAUUUACUGGGCGUAAAGCGCACGUAGGCGGACUAUUAAGUCAGGGGUGAAAUCCCGGGGCUCAACCCCGGAACUGCCUUUGAUACUGGUAGUCUUGAGUUCGAGAGAGGUGAGUGGAAUUCCGAGUGUAGGGGUGAAAUUCGUAGAUAUUCGGAGGAACACCAGUGGCGAAGGCGGCUCACUGGCUCGAUACUGACGCUGAGGUGCGAAAGCGUGGGGAGCAAACAGGAUUAGAAACCCCUGUAGUCCCAUGAU
rnacentral:rRNA from 1 species